UACGGAGGGUGCGAGCGUUAAUCGGAAUUACUGGGCGUAAAGCGUGCGUAGGCGGAUUGUUAAGCGAGAUGUGAAAUCCCGGGGCUCAACCUCGGAACUGCAUUUCGAACUGGCAGUCUAGAGUAUGAUAGGGGUAGAGGGAAUUUCUAGUGUAGCGGUGAAAUGCGUUGAUAUUAGGAAGAACACCGGAGGCGAAGGCGGCCCCCUGGACAAAGACUGACGCUCAGGUGCGAAAGCGUGGGGAGCAAACAGG
rnacentral:rRNA from 1 species